rnacentral:rRNA from 1 species
GACGGGUGAGUAACAUGUGAGAAUUUGCCUUUAGGAGGGGGAGAACUAGUUAGAAAUGAUUGCUAAUGCCCCAUAUGCUUUUUUUAGUGAAAUGGAGUUUAUCCGCCUGAAGAGAAGCUCGCGUCUGAUUAGCUAGUUGGUAAGGUAAUAGCUUACCAAGGUGACGAUCAGUAGUUGGUUUGAGAGAAUGAUCAGCCACACUGGAACUGAGAUACGGUCCAGACUCC